UUGACCUCGGAUCAGGUAGGAAUACCCGCUGAACUUAAGCAUAUCAAUAAGCGGAGGAAAAGAAACCAACAGGGAUUGCCCCAGUAACGGCGAGUGAAGCGGCAACAGCUCAAAUUUGAAAUCCGGCCUCGGCCCGAGUUGUAAUUUGCAGAGGAUGCUUUUGGUGCGGCGCCUACUGAGUCCCCUGGAACGGGGCGCCAGAGAGGGUGAGAGCCCCGUAUAGUGGGACGCCUAGCCUGUGUAAAGCUCCUUCGACGAGUCGAGUAGUUUGGGAAUGCUGCUCAAAACGGGAGGUAAAUUCCUUCUAAAGCUAAAUACCGGCCAGAGACCGAUAGCGCACAAGUAGAGUGAUCGAAAGAUGAAAAGCACUUUGAAAAGAGGGUCAAAAGCACGUGAAAUUGUUGAAAGGGAAGCGCUCGUGACCAGACUUGCGCCGGGCCGAUCAUCCGGUGUUCUCACCGGUGCACUCGGCCCGGCUCAGGCCAGCAUCGGUUCUCGCGGGGGGACAAAAGCCCCGGGAACGUAGCUCCUCCGGGAGUGUUAUAGCCCUGGGCACAAUACCCUCGCGGGGACCGAGGACCGCGCUCUGCAAGGAUGCUGGCGUAAUGGUCACCAGCGACCCGUCUUGAAACACGGACCAAGGAGUCAAGGUUUUGCGCGAGUGUUUGGGUGUAAAACCCGCACGCGUAAUGAAAGUGAACGUAGGUGAGAGCUUCGGCGCAUCAUCGACCGAUCCUGAUGUUCUCGGAUGGAUUUGAGUAAGAGCGUAAUGCCUUGGACCCGAAAGAUGGUGAACUAUGCCUGGAUAGGGUGAAGCCAGAGGAAACUCUGGUGGAGGCUCGCAGCGGUUCUGACGUGCAAAUCGAUCGUCAAAUCAGGGCAUGGGGGCGAAAGACUAAUCGAACCAUCUAGUAGCUGGUUACCGCCGAAGUUUCCCUCAGGAUAGCAGUGUUGUCUUCAGUUUUAUGAGGUAAAGCGAAUGAUUAGGGACUCGGGGGCGCUAUUUUGCCUUCAUCCAUUCUCAAACUUUAAAUAUGUAAGAAGCCCUUGUUGCUUAGUUGAACGUGGGCAUUCGAAUGCACCAACACUAGUGGGCCAUUUUUGGUAAGCAGAACUGGCGAUGCGGGAUGAACCGAACGCGGGGUUAAGGUGCCGGAGUGGACGCUCAUCAGACACCA
rnacentral:rRNA from 1 species